rnacentral:sRNA from 1 species
AAAAAGGCCGGUUCUUUUUUUAUCGAAGGACGAUUUUCUAGCAUUUUUUCACCAGGUUUAUCGUAAGUUAAUCAUGAGGCUAUUAUUCCAAUGAUUUUUUUAGGUUUUCAGGUAUUCCACAAACAUAAUAUUGUGUGCAAAAAAAAAGGCCGGUUCUUUCUUUAUCGAAGGACGGUUUUCUAGCAUUUUUUCAUCAGGUUUAUCGAAAUUAAGUUAAUCAUGAGGCUAUUAUUCCAAUGAUUUUUUUAGGUUUUCAGGUAUUCCACAAACAUAAUAUUGUGUGCAAAAAAAAAGGCCGGUUCUUUCUUUAUCGAAGGACGGUUUUCUAACAUUUUUUCACCAGGUUUAUCGAAAUUAAGUUAAUCAUGAGGCUAUUAUUCCAAUGAUUUUUUUAGGUUUUCAGGUAUUCCACAAACAUAAUAU